rnacentral:rRNA from 1 species
GGAUGCGAUCAUAACAGCACUAAUGCACCGGAUCCCAUCAGAACUCCGCAGUCAAGCGUGCUUGGGCGAGAGUAGUACUAGGAUGGGUGACCUCCCGGGAAGUCCUCGUGUUGCAUCCC